UGAAACUGCGAAUGGCUCAUUAAAUCAGUUAUCGUUUAUUUGAUAGUACCUUACCACUUGGAUAACCGUGGUAAUUCUAGAGCUAAUACAUGCUAAAAACCCCGACUUCGGAAGGGGUGUGUUUAUUAGAUAAAAAACCAAUGCCCUUCGGGGCUCUUUGGUGAUUCAUGAUAACCUAACGGAUCGCAUGGCCUUGCGCCGGCGACGGUUCAUUCAAAUUUCUGCCCUAUCAACUUUCGAUGGUAAGGUAUUGGCUUACCAUGGUUUCAACGGGUAACGGGGAAUUAGGGUUCGAUUCCGGAGAGGGAGCCUGAGAAACGGCUACCACAUCCAAGGAAGGCAGCAGGCGCGCAAAUUACCCAAUCCCGACACGGGGAGGUAGUGACAAUAAAUACUGAUACAGGGCUCUUUUGGGUCUUGUAAUUGGAAUGAGUACAAUUUAAACCCCUUAACGAGGAACAAUUGGAGGGCAAGUCUGGUGCCAGCAGCCGCGGUAAUUCCAGCUCCAAUAGCGUAUAUUAAAGUUGUUGCAGUUAAAAAGCUCGUAGUUGAAACUUGGGUCUGGCUAGCGGGUCCGCCUCACCGCGUGCACUUGUCCGGCUGGACCUUUCCUUCUGGAGAACCUCAUGCCCUUUACUGGGUGUGUUGGGGAACCAGGACUUUUACUUUGAAAAAAUUAGAGUGUUCAAAGCAGGCCUUUGCUCGAAUACGUUAGCAUGGAAUAAUAGAAUAGGACGUGCGGUCCUAUUUUGUUGGUUUCUAGGAUCGCCGUAAUGAUUAAUAGGGAUAGUCGGGGGCAUCAGUAUUCAAUUGUCAGAGGUGAAAUUCUUGGAUUUAUUGAAGACUAACUACUGCGAAAGCAUUUGCCAAGGAUGUUUUCAUUAAUCAGUGAACGAAAGUUAGGGGAUCGAAGACGAUCAGAUACCGUCGUAGUCUUAACCGUAAACUAUGCCGACUAGGGAUCGGGCGAUGUUUCUAUCUUGACUCGCUCGGCACCUUACGAGAAAUCAAAGUUUUUGGGUUC
rnacentral:rRNA from 1 species